rnacentral:rRNA from 1 species
AUUGAACGCUGGCGGCAUGCUUUACACAUGCAAGUCGAACGAGUGGCGAACGGUUGAGUAAUAUAUCGGAACGUACCGAUUAAUGGGGGAUAACCCAUAGAAAGAUUGGCUAAUACCGCAUAUUAUUCGAGCGGCCGGUACCUGAUUAGCUCGUUGGUGGGGUAAAGGCCUACCAAGGCGACGAUAAGUAGCGGGUCUGAGAGGAAGAUCCGCCACACGGGGACUGAGACACGGCCCAGACCCCUACGGGAGGCAGCAGUGGGGAAUUUUGGACAAUGGGGGCAACCCUGAUCCAGCCAUGCCGCGUGUAUGAAGAAGGCCUUCGGGUUGUAAAGUACUUUUGUUAGGGAAGCGGUACCUAAAGAAUAAGCACCGGCUAACUACGUGCCAGCAGCCGCGGUAAUUC